rnacentral:rRNA from 1 species
AGUGAACGCUGGCGGUAGGCCUAACACAUGCAAGUCGAACGGCAGCACAGUAAGAGCUUGCUCUUACGGGUGGCGAGUGGCGGACGGGUGAGGAAUACAUCGGAAUCUACUUUUUCGUGGGGGAUAACGUAGGGAAACUUACGCUAAUACCGCAUACGACCUACGGGUGAAAGCAGGGGAUCUUCGGACCUUGCGCGAUUGAAUGCGCCGAUGUCGGAUUAGCUAGUUGGCGGGGUAAAGGCCCACCAAGGCGACGAUCCGUAGCUGGUCUGAGAGGAUGAUCAGCCACACUGGAACUGAGACACGGUCCAUACUCCUACGGGAGGCAGCAGUGGGGAAUAUUGGACAAUGGGCGCAGGCCUGAUCCAGCCAUACCGCGUGGGUGAAGAAGGCCUUCGGGUUGUAAAGCCCUUUUGUUGGGAAAGAAAAGCAGCAGGUUAAUACCCCGCUGUUCUGACGGUACCCAAAGAAUAAGCACCGGCUAACUUCGUG